rnacentral:rRNA from 1 species
GAAAGAUGGGUGAGAAUCCCAUCCACCGAUUGACUAAGGUUUCCAGAGGAAGGCUCGUCCGCUCUGGGUUAGUCGGGUCCUAAGUCGAGGCCGACAGGCGUAGACGAUGGAUAACAGGUUGAUAUUCCUGUACCACCAUUUAUCGUUUUAAGCGAUGGGGGGACACAGUAGGAUAGGCGAAGCGUGCUGUUGGAGUGCACGUCUAAGCAGUGAGACUGAAUGGUAGGCAAAUCCGCCAUUCUCAAGGUUGAGCUGUGAUGGGGAGAGGAAACAUGUUUUCCUCGAGUCGUUGAUUUCACACUGUCGAGAAAAGCCUCUAGCUAGAUAACUGGUGCCCGUACCGCAAACCGACACAGGUAGUCAAGAUGAGAAUUCUAAGGUGAGCGAGAGAACUCUCGUUAAGGAACUCGGCAAAAUGACCCCGUAACUUCGGGAGAAGGGGUGCUCUUUAGGGUUCACGCUCUGAAGAGCCGCAGUGAAUAGGCCCAAGCGACUGUUUAUCAAAAACACAGGUCUCUGCUAAACCGUAAGGUGAUGUAU